rnacentral:rRNA from 1 species
AUUGAACGCUGGCGGCAGGCCUAACACAUGCAAGUCGAGCGGAUGAAGGGAGCUUGCUCCUGGAUUCAGCGGCGGACGGGUGAGUAAUGCCUAGGAAUCUGCCUGGUAGUGGGGGAUAACGUCCGGAAACGGGCGCUAAUACCGCAUACGUCCUGAGGGAGAAAGUGGGGGAUCUUCGGACCUCACGCUAUCAGAUGAGCCUAGGUCGGAUUAGCUAGUUGGUGGGGUAAAGGCCUACCAAGGCGACGAUCCGUAACUGGUCUGAGAGGCUGAUCAGUCACACUGGAACUGAGACACGGUCCAGACUCCUACGGGAGGCAGCAGUGGGGAAUAUUGGACAAUGGGCGAAAGCCUGAUCCAGCCAUGCCGCGUGUGUGAAGAAGGUCUUCGGAUUGUAAAGCUCUUUAAGUUGGGAAGAAGGGCAGUAAGUUAAUACCUUGCUGUUUUGACGUUACCAACAGAAUAAGCACCGGCUAACUUCGUG